UGAUCUAUCAGGUAAUGGUAUGUGCCUU
rnacentral:piRNA from 1 species